UACGUAGGGGGCAAGCGUUGUCCGGAUUUACCGGGUGUAAAGGGCGUGCAGCCGGAGAGACAAGUCAGAUGUGAAAUCCACGGGCUCAACCCGUGAACUGCAUUUGAAACUGUUUCCCUUGAGUGUCGGAGAGGUAAUCGGAAUUCCUUGUGUAGCGGUGAAAUGCGUAGAUAUAAGGAAGAACACCAGUGGCGAAGGCGGAUUACUGGACGAUAACUGACGGUGAGGCGCGAAAGCGUGGGGAGCAAACAGG
rnacentral:rRNA from 1 species